rnacentral:rRNA from 1 species
UACAGAGGUCUCAAGCGUUGUUCGGAUUCAUUGGGCGUAAAGGGUGCGUAGGCGGCGCGGUAAGUCGGGUGUGAAAUCUCGGAGCUUAACUCCGAAACUGCAUUCGAUACUGCCGUGCUUGAGGACUGGAGAGGAGACUGGAAUUUACGGUGUAGCGGUGAAAUGCGUAGAUAUCGUAAGGAAGACCAGUGGCGAAGGCGGGUCUCUGGACAGUUCCUGACGCUGAGGCACGAAGGUCAGGGGGAGCAAAACAGGG